UCUGAGCCGUCUGUCUCAAACCACCCCUCGCUCCCCCAAACCACCUCCUUCUCGUUCCCCAAUCUCGAAUACGGUAGGUCCUGCGGCGGCGCUCGAUUUGCACCGGCAGUAUUUGGAAUGGUAGAUGCUGGGCUUGAGUUCCUGCUCGACAGGUUCCCUCUGCGGAAGGAGUACUGCUGGGUCUGGGUGCGGCCAGUAGGUUGGCUGCGCUGGCCCGGAGAGGGCACAGCUGGGUGUUCGCCGGCGACCGGAUGCAUCUCCGACUCGGUCGGCACAAUCAACUGACAUGUCAACCUAGAGGCCCCUGGUUGGAGAAAAAGGAAACAGCCGUGCAUCAUCAACUUGUUAGCAGAACCAGUGUCUCUGGUACUAGCUAAUACUAGGUUUACCUGACUGACCGACAAAAACUGCAUUAGUAGUCGUUUUUUCAGGCGAGAAAAAUCCAAGCUAUGCCUCAGCAGUGCACCACCGGACCGCACACCAUGUCCUAUGAUGAGUACACUGGAGCAGUCGAUUCGAAAGUAGGCAGGGGAAACUACAAAAAGUGCCAGAACAGAGCUAUGGAGGUGGCAAUCAGCAAAUUCUCUCCAGACAAUGUGCACGGGUGGUGCAAAUGACAUUUGCUGAAGGGCAAAGGAGAGCUUAGUCCCCUGUACUGUGCAUGUAGAAGAGCGAGUUCCAAGCUGAAUUCUAUAAGGUUGUGAACCAUGUGUUAACUGAAGAUGAGUUUGAGACGGCAUGGGGUAUGCUGCUUGAUAAGUACAACUUGAUGAAGCACCCGUACAUGACCCAGAUCUACGAAGUAAGAAGUAAAUGGGCAAAACCAAACUUCAUGGCGUUUUUUUUGCGCCAAGAUGACAAGCACACAAUGCAGCGAGAGCGCGAACCACAUGUUAAAGACGUACAUGCUUCCUGCUAGCCCGAUGCACGUCUUUGUGAGGCAGUACAAGAAGUUGCAGUUUGACCGCGAGCACGAGGAAAGCUACGAGGAGAAGAGGACGAUGAUAGGUGGAGUUGUUAGGAGAAUGAAUUUGGCAAUUGAGCAACACACAAGCAUGAUUUACAAGAGGGCUAUGUUUGAAGAGUUCAGACACCUACUGAUUGAAGGCAUGGCAUACAAUGUCGCGGAGGUGGAGAGGAUGAUGAAGUAUGUCACAACGCACAACAAAGCAGUGAAGAGGAAAAAUGGAGUAGAGUUGUGUACGAGGUUACAGCAAAUGAGAACCAGCCGGAGUUUAAGUGCGUGUGUGGACAAUUCAAGCACACCAGGAUGUUGAGGGUAACUUCCAUGGACGAUAUCAUUUUGUGCCUCGAACUUCUGUUUGGAUAAGAAAUUUGUGUGUUCAGCGAAGACUUGCAUGUGGAUACAAUAUAUUUUCUUUAACCGAACUGCCCUUGGAGCAGAUCAUGGAUGUACUUCAUUUGGAGGAGAUUCCUGUGAAGCAUAUUGUGAAGCAGUGGACCCAAGGACGCGAGAGACAUUCUGCCCCAGCACCUGAUUCAGUACCAGAAGGACCACUCAGUUAACAUGUCUUUCACAUGCAGGCAUUCAACACUAGACAUGAAAGCUAUGUAAGUCGCCAGGAUGGGCGAUGCGAGUGCAGAAUCAUUCGAGCACAUGUUAGCUGGUCUUGAUGCUUUGUUGCUGAGUGGCACGCCGUUUGCAGAGAAGAGGGAUGUUUUGAGUUUUGAGGACCGUUUGGCAAAUUUGCCCACCGGGAGAUUGCCUAGAAAUGGGGAGGUUGCAUUUGUUGCGAACGGUGGUGCUGACCAUGAAGACAGUGUUGGGCCCUCCGCUAGUGUGAAUGCCCUUGAAGGUCUAGCAGCUCCAGAUAAGCAAAGAGGGGUUGAAAGGCCGACGAAUAGUAGGAAGAAGGCACCGUACGAGGGUUUGAGCAAGUGGAUGAGGUUCUGCAGCAUCUGUCGACGGAAGGCCACAAGCGAACAACCAGUCGCGGACGAGGGGUGCACCCAAGAAACCACGUGAGCUGGAGAAAUGCAAGAACUGUGGCAUGAAAGGUCACCGCCGGAACACGUGCACAAGGACUGUAGGUAUUGCUGAAAAUUAAGUUGUGAUUGUUAAGUUUGUAUUC